rnacentral:rRNA from 1 species
AGUGAACGCUGGCGGUAGGCCUAACACAUGCAAGUCGAACGGCAGCACAGUAAGAGCUUGCUCUUACGGGUGGCGAGUGGCGGACGGGUGAGGAAUACAUCGGAAUCUACUUUUUCGCGGGGGAUAACGUAGGGAAACUUACGCUAAUACCGCAUACGACCUACGGGUGAAAGCAGGGGAUCGUCGGACCUUGCGCGAUUGAAUGAGCCGAUGUCGGAUUAGCUAGUUGGCGGGGUAAAGGCCCACCAAGGCGACGAUCCGUAGCUGGUCUGAGAGGAUGAUCAGCCACACUGGAACUGAGACACGGUCCAGACUCCUACGGGAGGCAGCAGUGGGGAAUAUUGGACAAUGGGCGCAGGCCUGAUCCAGCCAUACCGCGUGGGUGAAGAAGGCCUUCGGGUUGUAAAGCCCUUUUGUUGGGAAAGAAAAGCAGCAGGUUAAUACCCCGCUGUUCUGACGGUACCCAAAGAAUAAGCACCGGCUAACUUCGUG